rnacentral:lncRNA from 1 species
GUAUCGUGGAGAACCGAGUUCAGGUUGCAAGUACCCGGAUUUGGGGGCGUCACAGGUUGGUAUCAAAGCUGUAGGUUAUAAACGUUAGGAAUGCGAAACCUAGGUUAUAACCUUAGUAGAAUGGAGGACGAAAGUUAAGAUAAAUAUUCAGUGAACCAAGAGACGAAGUACUCUGGUGAAGAAUUAAAAGAUAUGUUAGAUAGAUGAUGAGUCGAGAAGAUUCAUCAAGUGGUACUAAAUAAAAUAUUCCUUCAUUUUAUCGAUGAAGAUAUUUUAUUUCAGUACUAAUGUUGUCUCGUUUAUUGUGGUCAUAGGAUGGAUGACGAAAGUCAAAAUAGUAAUUCCUUGACCCAAGAGACGAUGGACUCUAGCGAGGAGUACACAGACAGUGAGAUGAUAAGAGAUUUGAUAGUUAGGAACGACGACUUAAAGGUUAGAGCUGAGCAGGCGGAGGCACAUAAUUGUACUCUCCAGAUUUCGGAAUAGCAGUAUAAGGACGCUGCUCACCAAGCACAGAUGGAGUUAGCCGAGUUACGAGGGAGGUUGGAGCAGAGAGAGAUACAGAUAGGACAGUUGAAGGUUGAGAUAGAAGCCAAAGACACCAAGAUAUAUACCUUGGAGCAGGCUUUAGUCAUCACCUUCAUACGAUUCGAUGCAGAGUGGAUGGAGCUGCCUUUCGGUAGAGAGAUAGGCGUUGAUGAGAAUUGAAUAAAUUCAUCUUCAAACAAAAUAAGAGACAACGUAUAUAAAACUCUUGAUUGCUGUGUAUAUAUACUAUAUGUUAAUCAGGGUAACUUAUGUAUGUAGAUGUCUGGUGGAAAAGAUAUGUGGAAUAAGAAGGAUCAGAUCCAUACCCCCGAGCUAAUAUCGAGGCCAACAACUGAAAUAGAAGCUUACCAGGAACCCAAAUCGGACGAGGUGGCUAUAGUGGAAAACAUAGUAUCAGAUCCAGAAAUGGUGGAUUUGACGGAUAGUGAUUCAGACACUAAAGUUGAAGCUGCUCAAGCAUCAACGGAGGUGCAGGAUCUGGAGAACAAGGUUUCUUCACUAGAAAGGUUGUGGGAG